rnacentral:rRNA from 1 species
UACGGGGGGGGUAAGCGUUGUUCGGAAUUACUGGGCGUAAAGGGCUCGUAGGCGGCCAACUAAGUCAGACGUGAAAUCCCUCAGCUUAACUGGGGAACUGCGUCUGAUACUGGAUGGCUUGGAUUCGGGAGAGGAAUGCGGAAUUCCAGGUGUAGCGGUGAAAUGCGUAGAUAUCCGGAGGAACACCGAUGGCGAAGGCAACCGCCUGGGCCUGUACUGACGCUGAGACACGAAAGCGUGGGGAGCAAACAGG